GGGCUGUUCGCCCAUUAAAGCGGUACGCGAGCUGGGUUCAGAACGUCGUGAGACAGUUCGGUCCCUAUCCGUCGUGGGCGUAGGAAAUUUGAGAGGAGCUGUCCUUAGUACGAGAGGACCGGGAUGGACAUACCUCUGGUGUACCAGUUGUCGUGCCAACGGCAUAGCUGGGUAGCUAUGUGUGGACGGGAUAAGUGCUGAAAGCAUCUAAGCAUGAAGCCCCCCUCAAGAUGAGAUUUCCCAACUUCGGUUAUAAGAUCCCUCAAAGAUGAUGAGGUU
rnacentral:rRNA from 1 species